rnacentral:rRNA from 1 species
AUUGAACGCUGGCGAAAUGCUUUACACAUGCAAGUCGAACGGCAGCACGGACUUCGGUCUGGUGGCGAGUGGCGAACGGGUGAGUAAUGUAUCGGAACGUGCCCAGUCGUGGGGGAUAACGUAGUGAAAAUUACGCUAAUACCGCAUACGAUCUAUGGAUGAAAGCGGGGGAUCGCAAGACCUCGCGCGAUUGGAGCGGCCGAUAUCAGAUUAGGUAGUUGGUGGGGUAAAGGCCCACCAAGCCAACGAUCUGUAGCUGGUCUGAGAGGACGACCAGCCACACUGGAACUGAGACACGGUCCAGACUCCUACGGGAGGCAGCAGUGGGGAAUUUUGGACAAUGGGCGAAAGCCUGAUCCAGCCAUUCCGCGUGCAGGAUGAAGGCCCUCGGGUUGUAAACUGCUUUUGUACAGAGCGAAAAGGUUUCUACUAAUACUAGGAGCUCACGACGGUACUGUAAGAAUAAGCACCGGCUAACUACGUGCCAGCCGCCGCAGUAA